CCUACGGGGGGCAGCAGUGGGGAAUAUUGGACAAUGGGGGGAACCCUGAUCCAGCCAUGCCGCGUGUGUGAAGAAGGCCCUCGGGUUGUAAAGCACUUUCAGUGAGGAAGAACGCCUGGUGGUUAAUACCCAUCAGGAAAGACAUCACUCACAGAAGAAGCACCGGUUAACUCCGUGCCAGCAGCCGCGGUAAUACGGAGGGUGCGAGCGUUAAUCGGAAUUACUGGGCGUAAAGCGCGCGUAGGUGGCUUGAUAAGCCGGUUGUGAAAGCCCCGGGCUCAACCUGGGAACGGCAUCCGGAACUGUCAAGCUAGAGUGCAGGAGAGGAAGGUAGAAUUCCCGGUGUAGCGGUGAAAUGCGUAGAGAUCGGGAGGAAUACCAGUGGCGAAGGCGGCCUUCUGGACUGACACUGACACUGAGGUGCGAAAGCGUGGGUAGCAAACAGGAUUAGAUACCCUAGUAGUC
rnacentral:rRNA from 1 species